GGCUGGAUAGCUCAGUUGGUAGAGCAGAGGACUGAAAAUCCUUGUGUCCCCGGUUCAAAUCCGGGUCUAGCCACCA
rnacentral:tRNA from 1 species